rnacentral:rRNA from 1 species
CCUACGUGAGGCUGCAGUGGGGAAUAUUGCACAAUGGGGGAAACCCUGAUGCAGCGACGCCGCGUGAGUGAAGCAGUAAUUCGUUAUGUAAAGCUCUAUCAGCAGGGAAGAAAAUGACGGUACCUGAGUAAGAAGCCCCGGCUAACUACGUGCCAGCAGCCGCGGUAAUACGUAGGGGGCAAGCGUUAUCCGGAUUUACUGGGUGUAAAGGGCGUGUAGCCGGGAAGGCAAUUCAGAUGUGAAAUCUGGGGGCUCAACCUCCAAAUUGCAUGUGAAACUGUUUUUCUUGAGUACUGUAGAGGUAGGCGGAAUUCCUUGUGUAGCGGUGAAAUGCGUAGAUAUAAGGAGGAACACCAGUGGCGAAGGCGGUUUGCUGGACAGCAACUGACGGUGAGGCGCGAAAGCGUGGGGAGCAAACAGGAUUAGAUACCCUUGUAGUC